CUACGGGUUGCAGCAGUGGGGAAUAUUGCACAAUGGGCGAAAGCCUGAUGCAGCAACGCCGCGUGAGUGAUGAAGGUCUUCGGAUUGUAAAGCUCUGUUCUUGGGGAAGAAUAAAUGACGGUACCCAAGGAGAAAGCCCCGGCUAACUACGUGCCAGCAGCCGCGGUAAUACGUAGGGGGCAAGCGGUAUCCGGAAUCACUGGGCGUAAAGGGUGCGUAGGGGGCUUAGCAAGUAAGAAGUGAAAGGCAUUGGCUCAACCAAUGUAAGCUUUUGAAACUGUUAGGCUUGAGUGCAGGAGAGGAAAGUGGAAUUCCUAGUGUAGCGGUGAAAUGCGUAGAUAUUAGGAGGAACACCAGUGGCGAAGGCGACUUUCUGGACUGUAACUGACGCUGAGGCACGAAAGCGUGGGGAGCGAACAGGAUUAGAUACCCGUGUAGUC
rnacentral:rRNA from 1 species